AGUGGCAGACGGGUGAGUAAUGUAUAGGAAUCUACCUAGUAGUACGGAAUAAUUGUUGGAAACGGCAACUAAUACCGUAUACGCCCUACGGGGGAAAAAUUUAUUGCUAUUAGAUGAGCCUAUAUUAGAUUAGUUAGUUGGUGAGGUAAAGGCUUACCAAGACAAUGAUCUAUAGCUGAUCUGAGAGGAUGAUCAGCCACACUGGAACUGAGAUACGGUCCAGACUCCUACGGGAGGCAGCAGUGGGGAAUAUUGGACAAUGGGCGAAAGCCUGAUCCAGCCAUGCCACAUGAGUGAAGAAGGCCUUCGGGUUGUAAAGCUCUUUUAGUGAGGAAGAUAAUGACGGUACUCACAGAAGAAGUCCUGGCUAACUCCGUGCCAGCAGCCGCGGUAAUACGGAGAGGGCUAGCGUUAUUCGGAAUCAUUGGGCGUAAAGGGCGCGUAGGCGGGUUAGUAAGUUAAAAGUGAAAUCCCAAGGCUCAACCUUGGAACUGCUUUUAAAACUGCUAGUCUAGAGAUUGAAAGAGGAUAGAGGAAUUCCUAGUGUAGAGAUGAAAUUCGUAAAUAUUAGGAGGAACACCAGUGGCGAANGCGUCUAUC
rnacentral:rRNA from 1 species